AUUUAACAAAUUUUUAGAUAAUUCGCACUAUUGAUUGAAACCAUUUAAUUAGGAAGGAGCAUAAUAAGAUGACUUUUAAUACAAGCGCAUAUACGAAACCACUAAGACAACAAAAUAUUAUUAUCAUUUUAUUAUGCAUGUUAGGACUCGAACAUCAGUAAACAAAUUUUUGUUACUGCUCGUUUAAGUCCUAUUUCUAGUUGAAUGGGACUUAUCUA
rnacentral:sRNA from 1 species